rnacentral:lncRNA from 1 species
CCAUUUAAUGUAACAGCGGGGAGACAGAUCAGUAAUAUUUUUAUGGUCCUUUGGGUUGAAACUGGGGGCUUGGAGACCAUUAGCCUAGUUAUAGAUAUACAUAUAGAAUGUGAAUUUAUCCACCAGUACCUUAUAAUUGCCCAUAUUCCUCUCUCAAUUCAUCAAAAAAUAUUUGUUAAGCACCUAGUGUGUACCCAGCACCAUGCUAAGUGCUGUGGGGAGCACAGAAGAAAUGGAAGACACAGUCUCUGCCCGCUGUGCUCCUAUCUAGAAGUGGCUGCAUCACAAGGAGGGGGGAUGACCGCAGUGUCUACCCCAUACCCCGUGAGUGGCUUGGGAUCCCUUUGCUACGUGUCAGUGGCACCCCAGACAUUCACCCCCUCCCAGCCCCACCCAGCCUUGGGGAUCUAUGAUGCCACGGUUGGGGGAAGGAAGGAGGGGCGAAGAGACAGAUAAGGGACUUCAUUGUCUCAAGCUCUGUAUGACCGACCCCAUGAUGAGCCCCGGGGAGGGGAGUCAUGGGCCCUGCUGACCUUUCACUGACUGUGGGAGCCUCCUUUGUACCGGGGCAAUGCGGACUGACAUCAGUGUGGCCUUUGCUUCCCUCUCCCUGUGUUCAGGUGACCCGCAGGGCCCUAUUCCCUGGAGACUCUGAGAUUGACCAACUCUUCCGGAUCUUUCGGACUCUGGGGACCCCAGAUGAGGUGGUUUGGCCAGGAGUUACUUCUAUGCCUGAUUAUAAGCCAAGUUUCCCCAAGUGGGCUCGGCAGGAUUUUAGCAAGGUUGUGCCUCCCCUGGAUGAAGACGGACGGAGCUUGUUAUCUCAAAUGCUGCACUAUGACCCCAACAAGCGGAUUUCAGCCAAAGCAGCCCUGGCUCACCCUUUCUUCCAGGAUGUGACUAAACCAGUGCCCC